GAUGAACGCUGGCGGCGUGCUUAACACAUGCAAGUCGAACGUGAGAAUAGCAAUAUUUGAAAGUGGCAAACGGGUGAGUAACACGUGGGAACCUGCCUCGAAGUGGGGGAUAACGAUUGGAAACGGUCGCUAAUACCGCACGGUUCUGCUCUGAUGGGAAUGGAGCAGAUAAAGAUUUAUCGCUUUGAGAGGGGCCCGCGGCCGAUUAGCUAGUUGGUAAGGUAAAGGCUUACCAAGGCGAUUAUCGGUAGCUGGUCUGAGAGGACGAUCAGCCACACGGGAACUGAGACACGGUCCCGACUCCUACGGGGGGCAGCAGUGAGGAAUAUUGGGCAAUGGGCGAAAGCCUGACCCAGCAACGCCGCGUGGAGGAUGAAGGCUUUAGGGUUGUAAACUCCUUUUGUACGGAACGAAACGGUUCUCUCUAAUACAGGGGGCUAAUGACGGUACCCGUAAGAAUAAGCACCGGCUAACUACGUG
rnacentral:rRNA from 1 species